rnacentral:misc_RNA from 1 species
UGAGCACCUCGCGGCGCCCACGCGCCGCUUUCUUUUCGUUGUCAUGUGUGGCACUGAGCCUCUCGGACUACCCGACGUGCCCGUGGUGCGGAUGGCGCGAGGGCCCCAGUCAUGUGCACCUACAUGCAUGCCAACGAUGGGAAUAUCAUGACAGGACGUGCACGCGCGCGCACACACACACACAAACGCUGAGCCCUCUUCCUACCCUCUCUUGCGUCCCUCCGACCUGCGCGUGUCUUUUUUUCUAGAGCCGGUUGGGGCACGGGUGGGCCACCUCUUCGCUCCCCCUAAUCGUCUCAGCAUCCAAGAAACCCUCUCUGAGUAAGCGGCAGGACCCCUCUAUCAUGUUUGCAACACCUUCCCCUGCGCCGCCCUCUAGCGCCCCCCCCGCCACCGCUAACGCGACGGAGUCUACUCGUGACACUUUUCCUACGGCUGGUGUGUUCCCUCCAGGCGCUCAUCUUUGCGAAUUCUCUUCCUGCAACGCUACCGCUUACCGACUGCCCUACGCGUUUGCGGAGGCGCGUCUCAUCUCAGAGGCAGAGGCACAGGUCCGCUGCAGCCAUAUCGUCUUCUUCCGCUUGUGUGGAUCUGGCUGGAUGGUGCGUCUACUUCCUGCACGAUGUGGAUGCGCCGGCCUGCUCACAGCUGCAGCACAGCAUCCUCGACACGCUAGCGAAAAGAUGCCAUACUCCUCGCCAAAGCUGGUUUUAUAGGUCACAGAUGUAUCCGACGCACGCACGAGUACGACGUGUUUGUGGCGGAAGUAGCAGCGUCUCUGGCGGCGAACUUCUUGUAUCUGACCAGGUCCAGCGUCAUUCUGGGUGCGGUGCGCCGGCGCACUUUGCGCAGCAGUUGUAGCGUCGCUUGCGGCAGCCGCGUCGGCCACGGCCGACCUCGCCAACCUCUCCGUCGGGAACGUUGGGCAUGUCUUUGCAGAGGGGCGCAAGGCGGAGCCACAGCCUCGGCUGUGGGAACGUACCAGCUGCGAUGGGUGCUACAGGUCUGCACUGCAGUGCGGGCCUGCUGCACCUGUGCGAGUGACGAAAGUGCCUGUGGCGGCGUCGAUGCGGCACACCGCACCCUCUCUGCGAUGCUACUGGGCUGCGUGGUUCCCGGUGCUGGCCCACGUCGCGGAUCAGGUGGGGCCGCUACUCAGUGAAGCCGACUUUACGGAGAUGAUGCCGAUGCACACUGACCGCCCUUCUCUGCACGGCAGCGUUAUUAUGCAUUACAAAGCGCUGUCUUCGUGGCGACGAGGUGCCGAUUCUCUUGCCGCGACCCUUGGCGCCUUUUUGUGUGUCCGCGUGUUACACGGCGUGACCGUUGCCGUUAUUGUGCUCUCUCUUUGCUGCUACAGCUGCUCUCCGUCACCUUGCAAAUAGGCACCCCCGAAGCACAAGAAAAAAAACGAGAUACCAGACGAAGGCGAAACAGGGAGAUGAUGGCUGCGCUGCCUCACUCCACCGUCGCCAUGCACCGCGCCUCCACUACUUUCGGUGGUGACCUGCGUCUCUGCAGAUAUUUUACGCACUGCGUCGGUAGGCCGUUUU